UGGAAACGGUGGCUAAUACCGCAUAAUGUCGCAAGACCAAAGUGGGGGACCUUCGGGCCUCAUGCCAUCAGAUGUGCCCAGAUGGGAUUAGCUAGUAGGUGGGGUAACGGCUCACCUAGGCGACGAUCCCUAGCUGGUCUGAGAGGAUGACCAGCCACACUGGAACUGAGACACGGUCCAGACUCCUACGGGAGGCAGCAGUGGGGAAUAUUGCACAAUGGGCGCAAGCCUGAUGCAGCCAUGCCGCGUGUGUGAAGAAGGCCUUCGGGUUGUAAAGCACUUUCAGCGGGGAGGAAGGCGUUAAGGUUAAUAACCUUGGCGAUUGACGUUACCCGCAGAAGAAGCACCGGCUAACUCCGUGCCAGCAGCCGCGGUAAUACGGAGGGUGCAAGCGUUAAUCGGAAUUACUGGGCGUAAAGCGCACGCAGGCGGUCUGUCAAGUCGGAUGUGAAAUCCCCGGGCUCAACCUGGGAACUGCAUUCGAAACUGGCAGGCUAGAGUCUUGUAGAGGGGGGUAGAAUUCCAGGUGUAGCGGUGAAAUGCGUAGAGAUCUGGAGGAAUACCGGUGGCGAAGGCGGCCCCCUGGACAAAGACUGACGCUCAGGUGCGAAAGCGUGGGGAGCAAACAGGAUUAGAUACCCUGGUAGUCCACGCCGUAAACGAUGUCGAUUUGGAGGUUGUGCCCUUGAGGCGUGGCUUCCGGAGCUAACGCGUUAAAUCGACCGCCUGGGGAGUACGGCCGCAAGGUUAAAACUCAAAUGAAUUGACGGGGGCCCGCACAAGCGGUGGAGCAUGUGGUUUAAUUCGAUGCAACGCGAAGAACCUUACCUGGUCUUGACAUCCACAGAACUUAGCAGAGAUGCUUUGGUGCCUUCGGGAACUGUGAGACAGGUGCUGCAUGGCUGUCGUCAGCUCGUGUUGUGAAAUGUUGGGUUAAGUCCCGCAACGAGCGCAACCCUUAUCCUUUGUUGCCAGCGGUUAGGCCGGGAACUCAAAGGAGACUGCCAGUGAUAAACUGGAGGAAGGUGGGGAUGACGUCAAGUCAUCAUGGCCCUUACGACCAGGGCUACACACGUGCUACAAUGGCAUAUACAAAGAGAAGCGACCUCGCGAGAGCAAGCGGACCUCAUAAAGUAUGUCGUAGUCCGGAUUGGAGUCUGCAACUCGACUCCAUGAAGUCGGAAUCGCUAGUAAUCGUAGAUCAGAAUGCUACGGUGAAUACGUUCCCGGGCCUUGUACACACCGCCCGUCACACCAUGGGAGUGGGUUGCAAAAGAAGUAGGUAGCUUAACCUUCGGGAGGGCGCUUACCACUUUGUGAUUCAUGACUGGGGUGAAGUCGUAACAAGGUAACCGUAGGGGAACCUGCGGUUGGAUCACCUCCUU
rnacentral:rRNA from 1 species